UUUGUGGUUCAACUGAUUUGAAGAGCUUGCUCAGAUAUGACGAUGAACAUUGCAAAGAGUGGCGAACGGGUGAGUAACACGUGGGAAACCUACCUCUUAGCAGGGGAUAACAUUUGGAAACAGAUGCUAAUACCGUAUAACAAUGACAACCGCAUGGUUGUUAUUUAAAAGAUGGUUCUGCUAUCACUAAGAGAUGGUCCCGCGGUGCAUUAGCUAGUUGGUAAGGUAAUGGCUUACCAAGGCGAUGAUGCAUAGCCGAGUUGAGAGACUGAUCGGCCACAAUGGGACUGAGACACGGCCCAUACUCCUACGGGAGGCAGCAGUAGGGAAUCUUCCACAAUGGGCGAAAGCCUGAUGGAGCAACGCCGCGUGUGUGAUGAAGGGUUUCGGCUCGUAAAACACUGUUGUAAGAGAAGAAUGACAUUGAGAGUAACUGUUCAAUGUGUGACGGUAUCUUACCAGAAAGGAACGGCUAAAUACGUGCCAGCAGCCGCGGUAAUACGUAUGUUCCAAGCGUUAUCCGGAUUUAUUGGGCGUAAAGCGAGCGCAGACGGUUAUUUAAGUCUGAAGUGAAAGCCCUCAGCUCAACUGAGGAAUUGCUUUGGAAACUGGAUGACUUGAGUGCAGUAGAGGAAAGUGGAACUCCAUGUGUAGCGGUGAAAUGCGUAGAUAUAUGGAAGAACACCAGUGGCGAAGGCGGCUUUCUGGACUGUAACUGACGUUGAGGCUCGAAAGUGUGGGUAGCAAACAGGAUUAGAUACCCUGGUAGUCCACACCGUAAACGAUGAGUGCUAGGUGUUUGAGGGUUUCCGCCCUUAAGUGCCGCAGCUAACGCAUUAAGCACUCCGCCUGGGGAGUACGACCGCAAGGUUGAAACUCAAAGGAAUUGACGGGGACCCGCACAAGCGGUGGAGCAUGUGGUUUAAUUCGAAGCAACGCGAAGAACCUUACCAGGUCUUGACAUCCCUUGACAACUCCAGAGAUGGAGCGUUCCCUUCGGGGACAAGGUGACAGGUGGUGCAUGGUUGUCGUCAGCUCGUGUCGUGAGAUGUUGGGUUAAGUCCCGCAACGAGCGCAACCCUUAUUACUAGUUGCCAGCAUUCAGUUGGGCACUCUAGUGAGACUGCCGGUGACAAACCGGAGGAAGGUGGGGAUGACGUCAAAUCAUCAUGCCCCUUAUGACCUGGGCUACACACGUGCUACAAUGGCGUAUACAACGAGUUGCCAACCCGCGAGGGUGAGCUAAUCUCUUAAAGUACGUCUCAGUUCGGAUUGUAGGCUGCAACUCGCCUACAUGAAGUCGGAAUCGCUAGUAAUCGCGGAUCAGCACGCCGCGGUGAAUACGUUCCCGGGUCUUGUACACACCGCCCGUCACACCAUGAGAGUUUGUAACACCCAAAGCCGGUGGGGUAACCUUCGGGAGCCAGCCGUCUAA
rnacentral:rRNA from 1 species